rnacentral:lncRNA from 1 species
ACCCAGUAAUUAUAUAAUUAAAUCUUGCAUUAGCUUACAUUGCUCUCAGGUUAUAAACAACAUAACUAAUGUAUUUUUCAUAAUAGGAUCAAACACGACAAAAAUUUAUAAAUACAACCACUUUAAAACAUCCAAAACAAACAUCAAAUCAAAUAGAUUAAACACUAAAUGUCACAACCAAAAACAAGAACAAUAACUACAAUCUAGUUAUCAUUAGAUUCACUAUCUUCCUCAUCAUGAAAUACUUGAGGCAUGUGCUUCUUAACCAACUCCUCAAAUUUAGCAAACUUAGCAUCAUUAGCUACACAUUGUUGCAUCAAUUCCACAAUUUACUUUUUCAUCGCUUCUAUUUCUUCCAUAGUUUGUACCGUCCUUUUUCUUCCUAUACAUCUCUUCGUAGACCUCAAGAAAAGUGGGCUCUUUUCCCCAUUUACACAUUCCUACAAAAUUUUAGAAAAAGAGAUAAUGCAAGUGUGAACUACCACCAGAUGUGAAUUCAAAUCCAAAGCCAAAAGUGGUAGAAACUGACUGAGGAAGAGAGGAGGUUAAGGAAGAUGAGGGAAUUUAAAAGCAGCAAGAAUUAAGGGAAUCACAGUUUGAGUCAAAACUCAGUUUGAGUUUUUGAGUGACAUGACCACAGGGAUUGUUUCUAGCUUUUAUAGUGCACUUGCCCAUGUUAUAUUUUAACAUGUUAUAGCAGAUAUCAUGUCCUUUUCCUUCAAUUACUGUUGGUCAUCUUUUAGGUAACUUGAGAGUCUAAAACAACUACUCAGAUUUGUUUCAAUUGAACCGAGAAUUUUUGGAAACAGCUGCACUACACCCGUGAGGUAGUGGUAAGAUCUACAUACACUUAACUGUAUGGACAGUCAUACAUAAUUAUCCUAAUAAACAAAUGGAGCAUAUGACUAGAAUGUAAAUAUCAAUGAUAAGCAAACUUGAUAUCACAAAAGAAGCAGUAAUACUUAGACCAAGCCGUUGCAUUGUUUUGCAAUUUCUUUGAUGUUUGUAAGAAAGCUGCUUCCUUCAAAUGAUCUGCAUUUGAAUUAUAAAAAUUUUUGGCAAGGGUCGUCUUUUACCAAUUCCACCUAUCCCAGAGAUCACGUAUAUGCCAACACUAGUUGAGAUAUCUUCCAACUACAUGAUAAUAUCUAUAGCCCGAUGAUCAAUUCCAAUAAGGUUAGGAGCAUUGUUUAAGACUCUUAGAUGCAGCUUAUUUACAUUCAAAGAAAAACAUUCAAAAGACUAAUAGCAUUCUGCUAGUAAACUACCUGUGUACCAAGGGAGAUAACAAAACUACACAUGACAUUUACAAGAAAUACCGGCUUACAAAUUACAAUUUGAGUCCAGCAAAUGGAAACCAUCAAAAGAGUCCACUAGAAAUAAAAAGUCACCGAGAACAAAACAUUUCAGGAUAUCAUAUUAUAUCCCCAGAAGAAAUUUGGAGUUAUCAUCUAUGAAGCUAUCUGCACUACCCCACAAAAUGAAUGAUGCCUCGUGCUUUAUGAAUCAACAACUCGACAGACAUCCAAAAGACACUCGUACCUUUUUCCAAAUUACAUGACACUCCAUUAUGUGAAGCCCAAAAAAAACUGAUAGUAUUCAGUUUAUAUUCAACUUUCAGGAAUUCAAAUUCACUAAACCACUAAAACAACUCAAGUCUAAUGUGAUGUUUUCUCUACUAAAUCAACUUUUCAAAUAUUCUAUUAUUUUUUACCCUACAACUAAUAUAACAUAUAAGCCAAACUACUGUGCAGUACUUUACUUUCAAAUUUACACUUCUUACUUAAAGUUUAGAUGCACCAACAAGUCCAUAGUAGAUUACUGACAUUAGAACGCCCAGACUGUAGUAUGUUGCUCUAAAAAUUUAUUUUUUCAUCCAAAAAACAUUCUUAGUCACCAAGAUAUAAACAUAUGAAGCAAAACAGAAACUCUCACUUUAUUAACCAUACCCUUAAUUCGUUCAGUGUUACUUGAGUCAAAGGUAUUUCAGAAAAGAACUCUCAACCGGGUAGGGUCUGCAUACACUCUACUUUCCCAAAAAAACUUAAGGAACUUGAUGAGAUUACAAAGAAAGGCUUACUUGUUGGAUUUGCUGAUGGAAAGGUUUUUACCUUGUUGCAUCUCUAACUUUUACAAUAUUCUUUCCCCCUCUUGGUAACUGCAUAUAUUCCUUUUCAUUUUUUAUAGGAACCUAAUUUAUCCUCAAUGGAGGAGUGAAUGAAAAGAAAAAACUCUUAAAGAUGAUGUAAGAGUGGCUACUGCUCCAACUCUUUUAUCUCUUUUCAGAAUAAAUAGAAUAUACUUUGUGCAUGACUUUCUGGGAAUUAACUGACAUGAAACUCACUUAAGGAUGAUUGACUGAUGCACCUUUACAUUGCUGAUAUUUACUUUUAUCUAUACAUUGUGUUUCUCGCCAGGAAGACAUGGCUGAUACAACAAAAUAUACACCUAUUAAUGGUGGAAAAACACUCAUUACUGAACUGAAAACUCAUUUCUCUUUUCUGAAAACUAAAAGAACUGUUACUUAUGCAUAUGGUUUCAUGUUUGUUUUCAUUCUUGUUGCUUUCUUCUUGGCUUUUAGUCCUUCUCCUAACUUUUCUUCUCCAUGGUUCACUAAUAUUUUCUCUUUAAGUAGUAGUAGUAGUACUAGUAGUGAAAGUGGCAGUGGAAGUGAUACUUUUUCUGAUGCAUCUUAUAGAUCUCAUUUCUCUUCUUUUUACUCUUACUUUUUCCCUAAUUCUUCACAGAAAGUUCAAAAUUAUACUAACCCUAAUCCCAAAAUGGAGUCUUGAAUAAACCCUUGAAAGAUUCUGUGAAUAUGUCAGAAGUGGCACUCAUUACAAAGAGUUUUAACAACAAUUUUGCAAACAAUCUAAAAUCUUUUAAUUAACCAUAAAUUCGUCAAGCCAAGCAAAAUCAAUAGUACCAUUAGUCAUCCAAAAACCACUCUGAAAUCAACCAAAAACCGCAAAAUAUACUAAGCAAACCAAUACUUGUCUAACAUUAAGCUCAUCUAUGCAAACAAAUGAACUACAAAACAAACACUGAAUAGCCAACGUAAAAUGGUAGAAGGAAAAAGUAAAGCACAAAGUAGACUUGGCAGAGAGGGAAGGUGAGUUAGCAGUAGUUCUGGCACAAGCGUAGCUGAUCUGAUUAACAAUUUGCUUCCCCAAGUUCACGAGUCCAUGGCUCUGCAAAUUGGCGGCCAUACAAUAUACACUUUAAACAAGUCAACAAGACAGUAUAGCAUAUCCAGAACAAAAAAAUAUUGAUUUGUUGAACCUCUUUUAUUCUUUCACUGUGGAUAAUCAACUUCAUUGGCUUUCUGUUGAAAUAUUAUCAUUGGCUUAGUAAAGGCUAGCAACAACUUUAUACCAUUCACGACCAGUAGUAUACCAUCUUACAACUCUCAAACAAGGUCACUCAUACAAGAAGAACCAAGAUCGACUAGAACUUCCACAAAAACAGAACCAUCCAAUUUGUAAAUACACUAGAUAAACCUAGCUAUUGACUUACUAAUGGAAAACAAUAUCUGAAAACUAAGAUAUAACUUAGUCGAGUCCUGUAACAGAGAACAAUAAUCAUUUAGGACAAUUUCUACUUUUAAGCUAUCCAACUCAUUUUACUCCAGCUUCGGUACAUAUAAAAACCAGUCAAAUAAAUUCAUAAAUGGCAUAACGAAGGAAUGAAACGACGCUAAGAACAAAAAUAAUUUUCUUAUCAACCCAAAAUUUCAAUUAAAAGGAUUCAAUAUAUGAAGAAAAAUUAGUUGUAGAGGGAUCAACACUUACUAUAUACAUAAAAAUAAUUUUAAUCAUAUGUAAAUAGUAUAUUUUUUCAUCAAAAGAGGUUUCGAUAUAGAAGAAAGACAACAAAUCUCCAACUUGCCAUCGCCGUCACCACCAACUCGCCGUCGUCGUCACCACCAAGUCGCCGUCACCGUCGCCUUCAAACCGUCAAGUUGCGGUAUUCUUUGUCUGAGAUUGUGAACUAGGGUUUUGAUUACAUAUUUUUGAGAGAGAACUAGGGUUGAGAGAGAGAGACGGCAGUUAGAGAAAUGGAAAAGU